rnacentral:rRNA from 1 species
AACGAACGCUGGCGGCAUGCCUAACACAUGCGAGUCGAACGAGGCCUUCGGGUCUAGUGGCGCACGGGUGCGUAACGCGUGGGAACCUGCCCUUAGGUUCGGAAUAACUCCCCGAAAGGGGUGCUAAUACCGGAUAAUGUCUUCGGACCAAAGAUUUAUCGCCUUUGGAUGGGCCCGCGUUGGAUUAGCUAGUUGGUAGGGUAAAAGCCUACCAAGGCGACGAUCCAUAGCUGGUCUGAGAGGAUGAUCAGCCACACUGGGACUGAGACACGGCCCAGACUCCUACGGGAGGCAGCAGUGGGGAAUAUUGGACAAUGGGCGAAAGCCUGAUCCAGCAAUGCCGCGUGAGUGAUGAAGGCCUUAGGGUUGUAAAGCUCUUUUACCCGGGAUGAUAAUGACAGUACCGGGAGAAUAAGCUCCGGCUAACUCCGUG